rnacentral:rRNA from 1 species
AUUGAACGCUGGCGGCAGGCCUAACACAUGCAAGUCGAACGAGUGGCAGCCGGGUGAGUAAUGUCUGGGCAACUGCCUGAUGGAGCGGGAUAACUACUGGAAACCGUAGCUAAUACCGCAUAACCUCGGAUGUGCCCACAUGGGAUUAGCUAGUAGGUGGGGUACAGGUGCACCAAGGCGACGAUCCCUAGCAGGUCUGAGAGGAUGACCAGCCAAACUGGAACUGAGACACGGUCCAGAAUCCUACGGGAGGCAGCAGGGGGGAAUAUUGGACAAUGGGCGCAAGCCUGAUGCAGCCAUGCCGCGUGUAUGAAGAAGGCCUUCGGGUUGUAAAGUACUGUCGUCAGGGAGGCGUUACCCGCAGAAGAAGCACCGGCUAACUCCGUGCCAGCAGCCGCGGUAAUUC